rnacentral:rRNA from 1 species
GACGAACGCUGGCGGCGUGCCGAAUACAUGCAAGUCGAACGCAGUGGGGACGGGUGAGUAACACGUGGGUAACCUCCCAUCAGAGGGGAUAACACUUGGAAACAGGUGCUAAACCGAUACUGAUGGAUGGACCCGCGGUGCAUUAGCUAGUUGGUGAGGUAACGGCUCACCAAGGCCACGAUGCAUAGCCGACCUGCGAGGGUGAUAGGCCACACUGGGACUGAGACACGGCCCAGACUCCUACGGGAUGCAGCAGUAGGGAAUCUUCGGACACGGACGAAAGUCUGACCGAGCAACGCCGCGUUAUUGAAGAAGGUUUUCGGAUCGUAAAACCCUGUUGUUAGAGAAGCGGUAUCUAACCAGAAAGCAACGGCUAACUACUUGCCAGCAGCCGCGGUAAUAC